rnacentral:rRNA from 1 species
UUCAACGGCCGCGGUAUCCUGACCGUGCAAAGGUAGCGUAAUCACUCGUCCUUUAAAUGGGGUCAAGUAUGAAUGGCUAAACGAGGGCUUAACUGUCUCCCCUUUCCAGUCAGUGAAAUUGAUUUACCCGUGCAGAAGCGGGUAUAAAAAUACAAGACGAGAAGACCCUUUGGAGCUUUAGGUACAAAGCUUAGCCAUGUAAAAAAAAUCAAUAAAAAUUUAAACCCAAUGGAAAUUAAGACUUUACCUUCGGUUGGGGCGACCACGGAGAAAAAAGAAUCCUCCAAGUGGAUUGGGGUUAUCCCUAAAACCAAGAAACACACCUCUAAGUCACAGAACUUCUGACCAAACAUGAUCCGGCCACAAAACCGAUCAACGAAACAAGUUACCCCAGGGAUAACAGCGCAAUCCUCUCCCAGAGCCCAUAUCGACGAGGGGGUUUACGAC